GUUCCCAUCGUCCAGUGACCUGGGAUAUCACCCUUUCACGGUGAGUACAGGGGUUCGAAUCCCCUUGAGGACG
rnacentral:tRNA from 1 species